AAGGAUUAAAGCAAAGAAGAGGGUUGCGUUCAGAUUGAACGCAACCCUCUUCUUUUAAAGCA
rnacentral:misc_RNA from 1 species